UCAUGAGCUAAUUAUAAGAUGGGGUCUAGGUUUAAACGGAGUGUUCCAAGAAUAAGAGUUUUAAAAUCAAACAUUUCAAGAAGCAGGGAAAAAGGAAGUUGCCAAGUUAGGUAAGGACUAUUUCUAGAAUGGACACAGCAUUAUUUCUGCCAUAUUAUUUUGGACAAACCAGUCAUUGAGCCAUUCAUAGUUAAGGAGGGGGGAGAUAUAGAUUCAGUCUUCACGGUUGGUAUUGGCUGUUGAUUGGAUGCUUAUCUAGGACUUUCAAAAAGAGAGCUUUAUUUGUGGCUUAUAUAAGGUCAUGAGCUAAUUAUAAGAUGGGGUCUAGGUUUAAACGGAGUGUUCCAAGAAUAAGAGUUUUAAAAUCAAACAUUUCAAGAAGCAGGGAAAAAGGAAGUUGCCAAGUUAGGUAAGGACUAUUUCUAGAAUGGACACAGCAUUAUUUCUGCCAUAUUAUUUUGGACAAACCAGUCAUUGAGCCAUUCAUAGUUAAGGAGGGGGGAGAUAUAGAUUCAGUCUUUUAGAGAAGUGGCAAGAUCAUAUCACCAAAGACUGUGUGGGAUGGUAAAUAUUACAGCCACUUAUGGAAAACAGAAUAUGCCACUGUAGGGAUACUGGAUUUUAUUUGGAAUAUAUUUCAAUGAUACAGGAUGGUUUUAGGAUGUGAAAAGAUGUAAGAUGAUUUUUUUUGAUGUAAGAUGAUUUUUUUUAAUUGAGACACACUUCAGUGGUGCUUUGUUGAAAAAUUGGUAAUUGAGAAGUUUUCAAAGCAUUUUAAGUGAGAAGAAUUUGUAGCUGAGACCAUGGUGUUAAGAGCAGAGAUGACAAAUCAAGGUUGGAUUACAUGUUAUUUGGAAUAAAAAAGAUUGGCUGAUGAAUUAGAUGCAGGUUGUGAAAAGACAACAGUAAUUAAACAUUUUAUCAACAAAUUUGAGCAACUUGGAAAAUAUAGCUCUUGACGGAAAUUGUGGAAAUUAAAGAGCAGGUUUGGAAGGUUUUAAGUCAAGGGUUCAAUGAGACAUGUUAAAUUUGAAAUGCUUAUUAGAAAUUGAACUGGAGAUAAGUUUCUGGGGUUGAAGUGUUAGGCCCAUGAUAGAGAAACAAAUAUGUGGGAAAACAGGAUUUAUAAUUUUUAAACAGGAUUUAUAAAUUUUAAACCUUUAUCCCUUUAUCAGUUUAAACCCUACUCACAUUUCUUCUUGACUACAUCUAGAUAGUAAGUUACAUAAAGAAGAGGCCACCAAGGCCUGCAUCAUUGGGUGUUCAGAGCUUGGGGAAAUGAAGAAAAGGAAGUGGUUAGCCACAUUGUCACUGUACUAUAACAAUCUCCUUGGCAUUCUUACUGACAAUACUGAAGGUGCUCCCUCCUCAGCCUCAGCCCUUUUUAUCCAUUUCAUUUACUUCUGCAUUCACAAUGGUCUUCAUAAAGUCAGCUAUAGAUAGUCAUGCUACCUUCCCAUUUAAAACUAUUUGUCAAGUAUUAGUUUAAAACUCAAAGAUCUUAGCCUUCUUGACCUAAAAGACCCUGUGGGAUGUCUCAAGAUCACCUGCAAAUAUUCUUAUCCUAAUUACCUAUACCACCUGUGCUAGAUUUUACUCAGUAAGUCCCUCAGGCUCAGUCUAUUGGACCUGCUCAUCCCUCUACCAAGAAUUUCACCCUACUUCUUCAUCCCUUUAUCAGUUUAAUCCCUACUCACUUUUCUUCACUUAAAUGCCAUAUAUCUUGAGAGUAGAUAAGAUUUUCUUUGUUUUAGCCCUUAAUUCCCUUUCCAUUGCUUCAAAGAAACUGAACUUUCUGUAUGAUCCUUUAUUUGCUAAAUUAGUAAAUAUUUGUCAUGCUCAUUAACUUCAACAGAAUAGAUCCUGUGUUUGACUCAAUUUUUAUCCAAAGUCUUGUAUGUCUGACACAUUUUUUAUAAAUAUUUUUGAGUAAAAUUUCUUGAUCUAUACAGUAUGUCUUGGGAGAUGAGGAUUAAAUAACCUAGGAAUGUGAAGACAUAAUGAUUUGUAAUAUGACUGGGUUAAAAUCCUGAACUCACAAUUCUACUCCCGUAUCUGGAGCUUUCUGAUAUGUUAACAUGGUAUAUCAAAGAAAUCUCAGGGAAAUCACUUUCCAUGUUCUACUUUUUGCUACUAAAUAAGCCACUUUCUCAUAAGCUAGUGUUACUAGGUCAUAGUUGCCAGGCACAGGAAUACCUGGGUUCAUUUGCAAGGUCCUACAAGCUUCCCUUUGUGUGCGGAGUUCAUGUUUUUAAUCAAAAGACCACCCCUCUUUACUUUCCAGCACAUUAUAAGAAUUCUCGUCUACUGUUCCCAUUUUUAAGACACCCAAAAUUUUCCUGCUUCCCCGUCUGCAUGAGUUACAAGCAUUUUCCAAGUAACCUCCAGCAAAUGAAGACUUUUUCCUGAACUGCAGCGGUAUUUUCUCCUAGGGUGGCUAAGCCUUUUAUAGUUUCAGUUUGAGACAGAGGUAACGUAUAGCACAGAGUCUCUGGGUAUUGAAAACAUGAUGGAUGUCUUGUUUGUCUUGAUUGUGCCCAGCCUCUAUUUCAGGCAUGCACCAAAUAGCCUGCCUUGAAAACUGUGAGGUGAGUCGCUAAUGCUCAAGUGCAAAAGCUCAGCUGUGAACUAGUCCCAGGAUUUUGCUUCCUGCUAUUCCUUGUUCACUAAAUUCCUAAAUAGUGAUUUCUUAUAUUUGUAUUGAACUUGUUUCUUUCAAUUCUUAAAUAUUUUCUAAGACUUGUAAUAUUUUUUUAAAUCAGAGUGCUUUAUCCAACUUAGUGAUGCUGCAUUUUUGUCAUCCUCAUUUAUUAUAUAGAGAGUAAAUUGAGAAAAAUUUUUUACAAUAGUCACAUGUUAUUCUCUGCUAAAUAUAGAAAAUAAAUUUGUAUAUGUGUCUAAGAGAAAAAAAAGAAAUCUCCUGCAUAUGGAGAUUCUAAGGCUGCAGCUACCAGCCUACACCACAGCCACAGGAACGUAGGAUUGGAGCCAUGUCUGUAACCUACACCACAGCUUAGGGCAAUGCUGGAUCCUUAACCCACUGAGAGAGGCCAGAGAUCUAACCCACAAGCUCCUGGCUACUAGUCGGAUUUGUUUCCCCUGGGCCACAGUGGGAACUCCUCAUUUAAUAUAUUUUUUACUAAAACAUUGAAUUAUAAUUAUUUAUUAUUUACUUCAUAAACAUCAUCUCAUGUUUUCCCAGUUGCAGAAAUAUGAGAUGAGGAUUAUUAAUCUCAUCUUGCAUUUCAAUAAAUCAUAUUUUCAACAAACAUUAUAUCCAUUUUACAUGUAUUUGAAAGAUUCUCAAGAACACUAGAAUCUGGAAAUAGAUAUAAAAAGAUACAUCCAGCCUGAUAACUGUUUGUAUAUAUGUAUAUAUAUUUAUAAAUUAUUCAACAUUUAAUAUGUUAAAUCUAGAGUAGAAAUUUUAGCAGAAUCUUUUGAUGUUUAGGAUCCAUAGAAAAUAUGAAGUUCAUAAUGUUUUUAAAAGAGAUGCAAAGUGCUGUAUGUCUAAUAUGUUUGAGGAAAUCAGGUCAAUGAAAUAUUAUUUAUGAACUCACAGUGUCUCACAAGUGAACAUAAAUUUUAGAAGGAAUUGGUGAGUUGAAAUUCAGUCAUUUUAACUAUGGAGUAAAGGUGGAAAGAAUAGUUCUAAAGCUGGAAUUUGUGACCAUAGUAUAGUUUGAAAAAACAGCAAUUCUGAAUUGUUCAUUAAGUGGUGUCUGUACUUUAUUUUGGAAAGUUGACUCUCUGAAAUGACAAGAGUCAAGGUUUGUUAUAAAUUUCUAGAGAGCUUCUGGGUAGGUAUCUUUAAGUAGCUAUAGCAUAAUGAUGAAUGCUGAUGGUAGAGUUAUAAAAGGUGGUAUUACAGUAGAAAACAAUAUUUGGAAGAGGAAAUAAUUUUGUCAUAAUAAUAUGUGAUUGUAGGGUUGUGAUUAGGACAAAGCUGGUUUUGUGACAGCAAGUGCCAUAUUUCUUUGUGAGCAUAAGCUUCUAUGCAAAGAAAGUACCAAUAGAGAGUAUUUUAUUUCUUUCAAUUUAGUUUUUCUACUUUUUUUAUAUACAAUAUAAUUAACAAGUGAGAAUCUGCCCACAUCACACCAGCAGAGAACAGAAUAGCAGAGCUUUAAAUGUAUUUCAACACCUGACUUUUCAGUUAAUAAAGCCAUCCAAAUGGUAAAAUUCUGCACCCUUACUUCGUGUUUCAGCCAAUUAAUUUACAUAAGUUAAAUUAACAGAUCUUAAAAAAAGCAACUUUCUCCCAACACACACCGUGCUGGUGGGUGCCAAUCUCACAGCUAAGGAGAGCAACAGUUUUGGGUCACGAAUUUUAAAUGUGAUCGUUCAUUUUAGGAACAUUUGUCCCUAAUAAGCAGCUCACAGUCAUUUUUAAAAUUGUUUAUUUUUACAACUGAUGAUUUUUCCCUCUGGGCAGUAAUUCUUGAAAAUUUGGGGUAUUAGCACAUCAUCUAGGAUUUAAGAAAAUGUAUACUGUAACUACACUGAUGUAUUUAUUCUAGGUACACAUCAAGAUUUAAAGUCCUUUUUCAGAACUCUGAAGCACUAACAAAUGAAAUAAGUGAGUGGAAGCUUAUAUUUUAUUGUGUCCAUUUUUGUAAGCUAGAGGUAUAGGCAAGUGUGUCUCAAGUGACUGGUUAGUUUACACUAUAGUUAGUCAUUUUUUAUCUGCAAUAUUUUCCAGAAAUAAGUUUUUUCCUACUGCUGUGGAGAUAUUAUUCAGUAUCUUCAAAUGCAGGAAAGAGUUCACUUCAGCAUCUAUAUUAUGUGCUGUCCUUUCUGUUGAGUAUCCUUCCUUUUUGUUCCCAUUGGCUUGCUCGGAGUCAUGCUGGUUUGCACCUUAGAUCUAAAGUCCCUUGUGUAAUGAAUAAUCAUUCCCGGUGGUUUUACAGUUGUUUCUAUUUUAACUUCAGAGACCACCUAGACUUGUGUUUUUUUAACUUGGAGGCUAUAACAUAAACUGAAAAUUCAGAGAAUGUACGAGUUUCAUAAUUCCUGUCCUCAGAGGGAUCAGAAAUUUCAAAACUAGAAUAAGUGGACAUAAAUUUUUGCCCCAUGAUUGAUAAUUGACUGUGUUCAUUUUCUCUGCCUUUCUCUGUUUUCAUAAAUAAAGGGAAUAGCUUGGCUAAUCUUGUGAUUGAUUGUGGUAAACAUCAUUCCUCUACCCCGAGACCUAUUAUUCUUUCUAUUCAAGGGAAAGUUAUAAUGUCUUAGCAAUGCUUACAAGGUCAUGGCUUCCUGUUUAGCCUCAUUUUGCACCGCUGUCAUAAAUGCUCAGUGACCCCCCUCACAAUAUUUUACUUUCCAGUCACCUAGAUGUAUGCAGUUCCCCAACUAUUUGAUACACUGUCUCUUUCCCUGGAGAUACCUACCUGACACUAAGUACUCCUCAUUCCCAUAUCUACCUCCAUUUCUCCAGACACCUGCCUACAUUUCAUUUUGGGAGCAAUGUUUUGGUUGGUAGGCUGCCUCCUCUAAAAGGACUAAUGUGCCCAUCCCAGACCAGGCAGUCUCUCCCUGGGCUUUCUGUUCAACCUUCUUAACCCUACUCCAUCCCCAGAGCAUAAAUUUAAUUUGGCUCUGUGUAUUCUAGGCUUCAAUGACAACUCCAUUUUCUGGCUAGAUAGGACUAUUCUAAAAAAUUGUCUGAUUAAUUAAAAUCUUAAAUUCUAAACAUACUAGAAAGCAUGGUACAUUCUUGGCUGCCUCCAAUUGCACAUCAAAUGCUAAUUGCUUAACUCCUUGUAAUCUGGUUUUUAUCUCUACUUCUCUGAAAUUAAUUUCCUAAUGCAGUCUUUCUGAAGACAAAAGUUUUCUCUUCUUGGUUCCACAUUCUUUGACUUUAUUGUAGAGGGUAAGGCAAUUGGUCAUUUCAUGCUUUUAAAAAAUACAGCUUCCUCUAAGUUUUGUAAUAGCUCUCCUUGAUGCUUUUUCUCGAAAUCCUCAUGCACAAUGUCCAGGUAUUCCUUAGGUUACUCUUGGGGAAUAUUCUCUUUGCUAGCUUUUCAUUAGAGAUCUCGCCCAUGUCCAUGGCCUCACCUCUCUUCUAUACCCUAAAAUUAUUCUUUUCAGUCUGACUUUUCUGCAGUUUUAGUCUGCAUUUCCCAACUUGCAGUCAUUUCCAUAGAUAUUUCCACUUAACUGUUCUCCUUCAAAUUCAGUAGGAUUUUAAAAUACUUCUCCCUGUACACUCAAAUGAGUCCAUAUUCUUAAUAUUCAAUUCUCAAAGCCACCUAGAGUUAAAAGCUUUUCUAUCUUGAUAGCCAGUUCUGUCUUCUCUUUUAACUCUUUCAUUCUUAAAUCCCAAUGGCUCUUUCUUCAGGAUUUCUCAUAUGCAUAUUCUUUUUCCCUUCUUCUAAUACCACUAUAUAUUAGGUGUCUUUUGCCC
rnacentral:lncRNA from 1 species